GUGAAGAUGCCGAUUACCCGCAGUGGGACGAAAAGACCCCGUGCACCUUUACUAUAGCUUCGUAUUGACCCUGGGUAAGUAAUGUGUAGGAUAGCUGGGAGGCUGUGAAGCGGCGUCGCCAGGCGUUGUGGAGCCAUUGUUGAAAUACCAGCCUUUGCUUAUUCGGGGCCUAACUCUCAUUAGAGAGAACAGUGCGUGGUGGGUAGUUUGACUGGGGUGGCCGC
rnacentral:rRNA from 1 species